GACGAACGCUGGCGGCGUGCUUAACACAUGCAAGUCGAACGGAAAGGCCCUGCUUUUGUGGGGUGCUCGAGUGGCGAACGGGUGAGUAACACGCGAGUAACCUGCCCUUGACUUUGGGAUAACUUCAGGAAACUGGGGCUAAUACCGGAUAGGAGCUCCUGCUGCAUGGUGGGGGUUGGAAAGUUUCGGCGGUUGGGGAUGGAUUCGCGGCUUAUCAGCUUGUUGGUGGGGUAGUGGCUUACCAAGCCUUUGACGGGUAGCCGGCCUGAGAGGGUGACCGGCCACAUUGGGACUGAGAUACGGCCCAGACUCCUACGGGAGGCAGCAGUGGGGAAUAUUACACAAUGGGCGGAAGCCUGAUGCAGCAACGCCGCGUGCGGGAUGACGGCCUUCGGGUUGUAAACCGCUUUCGCCUGUGACGAAGCGUGAGUGACGGUAAUGGGUAAAGAAGCACCGGCUAACUACGUG
rnacentral:rRNA from 1 species